rnacentral:ncRNA from 16 species
CGGCAGUACUGCGGGAGCCCGUGACUGUGACGCCCUGGCAGACGGCCCGACCGGGCCGCGCCGGACGCCACGACGCCGGGCUGAGAGGGCGCAACGCCGACCGCCACACCUGAUCCGGGUCAUGCCGGCGGAGGGAAGGAACCAUGGAGGAAGU